rnacentral:rRNA from 1 species
AUUAUGGAGAGUUUGAUCCUGGCUCAGAGUGAACGCUGGCGGCAUGCCUAACACAUGCAAGUCGAGCGAAGUUUUGCAGAGUAUCGCAAAAUUUAGCGGCAAACGGGUGAGUAACACGUAGGGAACCUCCCUCAAAAUGGGGAAUAUCUCCAAGAAAUUGGAGUCAAUACCGCAUAAGACCAUAGUUUGGCAUCAAGCAGAGUGGUUAAAGCAGUGAUGCGUUUUGAGAUGGCCCUGCGGCCUAUCAGCUAGAUGGUGGGGUAAAGGCCUACCAAGGCUAUGACAGGUAUCCGGCCUGAAAGGGUGAACGGACACACUGGAACUGAGACACGGUCCAGACUCCUACGGGAGGCAGCAGUGAGGAAUUUUGGACAAUGGGGGAAACCCUGAUCCAGCGAUGCCGCGUGGAGGACGAAGGCCUUAGGGUUGUAAACUCCUUUUAGGGGGGACGAAUAAAGUGACGGUACCCUCAGAAAAAGCCACGGCUAACUACGUGCCAGCAGCCGCGGUAAUACGUAGGUGGCGAGCGUUACUCGGAAUUACUAGGCGUAAAGGGUAUGUAGGUGGUCAUAUAAGUCUUUAGUGAAAUUUUUCGGCUCAACCGAAAAAGGCCUAAGGAUACUGUUUGACUUGAGUAUGGGAGAGGGAGAUGGAAUUCCUGGUGUAGCGGUGAAAUGCGUAGAUAUCAGGAGGAACGCCGAUGGCGAAAGCAGUCUCCUGGCCCAAUACUGACGCUGAGGUACGAAAGCUAGGGUAGCAAACAGGAUUAGAUACCCUGGUAGUCCUAGCUGUAAACGAUGUUCACUAGAUGUGGGAGGUAUCGACCCCUUCU